AAGUCGUAACAAGGUUUCCGUAGGUGAACCUGCGGAAGGAUCAUUAAAGAGUAAGGGUCCCCAGGGCCCGACCUCCAACCCCCUUGUCGUUGAAAAGACCACCGUUGCUUUGGCGGCGCGGCCCCGCCGACCGCCAGAGACCACAACCAAAACCCUUUCUUAAACCGUCGUCAGAGUAUAGAAAACAAAUGAAUCAAAACUUUCAACAACGGAUCUCUUGGUUCCG
rnacentral:misc_RNA from 1 species